GUGCUUACUUCCACAGCAUAUAUACUAAUAUUGGACAAGAGACAUUAGUGUGAGCCCCACACAAGGAUGACACACAAAUUCAUUAUGUGUUCCAUAUUUUU
ensembl:snRNA U6 U6 spliceosomal RNA